rnacentral:lncRNA from 1 species
AACGGAGUUCACGGAGUUUCAUCCUCAGUAGUCUAUUGAAUCAUUGUUUGUUGGGUUAAGGAUUGACGAUGAUCGGAGACACAGUAUGGCGCCAUCGUUUCUUGUUUCUCCAACAGAUACUCCAGUGGAGGAUAGGGAGGCGAAAGUUUUCUGAAAAAUACUUUUAAUACCACCAUAUCGUUAAACGACUAUAUAAAAUUAUACUCCCUUCAUUCUAAAAUAAUUGAAUUGUUAACAUAUAUCUUAAAAAAAAAAAAAAAAAAGACAGACAAAUUAAUCAUGUUUUUCCAUUUUUCCUUUUUUCAAACUCCAGAACAUUAGUAGUGAUCAUUGGUACUCAUCCUUGGAAAUUUGAUUAAUGAAGCGUAAAAUUGAAAAAAAAAAUUCAACAUAUAUCUUGAAUUCAAUUAUUUUAAACCCUGAAAAAUACUUCAACAAUUCAAUUAUUUUGGAACGGAGAGAGUAUAAUAUCUAAAUUUAUAUUUUCAUAAUAUAAUUAAUAAGGCUAAUUUGGUAAACUAAACUCUUAAUUAAAAUUUUCUUGAAAAGAGUAUCAAGUAAACAUGCGAAACAAAAUGAAAUAGAGGGAUUAUAAUCAAUUAUUCAAUAUUAUCGAUUUUUUUGGCUACUUUUGACGUGGCACACCCACUUAAGAAAACUUUAGCUAGAGGUGUAUUUUUCAUUAAAAUAAAUUUAUUAAUAAUAUUUUGAAAGUCUAAAUUGAAUAAUAUUAUUUUAUUAGUUAUUUGAUGCUAUGAAUAAUAUGAAAAAUAAAUAAUAAAACUAUCUUACUCACAGUAGUCACAGUACAAUACCCAAGAUGACUACUACACACUUAAAAGAAAU